UACCAGACUCCUACGGGAGGCAGCAGUGGGGAAUAUUGCACAAUGGGGGAAACCCUGAUGCAGCGACGCCGCGUGAGCGAUGAAGUAUUUCGGUAUGUAAAGCUCUAUCAGCAGGGAAGAAAAUGACGGUACCUGACUAAGAAGCCCCGGCUAACUACGUGCCAGCAGCCGCGGUAAUACGUAGGGGGCAAGCGUUAUCCGGAUUUACUGGGUGUAAAGGGGGCGCAGACGGCAAUGCAAGCCAGGAGUGAAAGCCCGGGGCCCAACCCCGGGACUGCUCUUGGAACUGCGUGGCUGGAGUGCAGGAGGGGCAGGCGGAAUUCCUGGUGUAGCGGUGAAAUGCGUAGAUAUCAGGAGGAACACCGGUGGCGAAGGCGGCCUGCUGGACCGUAACUGACGUUGAGGCUCGAAAGCGUGGGGAGCAAACAGGAUUAGAUACCCGCGUACU
rnacentral:rRNA from 1 species